rnacentral:ncRNA from 2 species
CCCACCACGGGUGAUGGCGUUCCACCUGCCCCAACCGCCCUUCUGGGCUGAUGACGCCUGGCAAACU